UACUGAGUAUCUAGCAAUUGUUGUGGGGUGUAGGGUUUUGUAAAUCUUCAUAGUAAUUAUGAAUAUUUGUAAAAUUUGUACAAUAUAACAAAUCAUUCUGGAUGUUAGUCUGAAGCAUGAGAGAAACAGCAGUUAUUGUCCUUUAAAAUGAAAUCUUUAGCCUGUCAAGCGUAUGGAGUACUGAAUGCUAUAUAGGUAUUUUAUAUCCCAGGUAAAUGUCAACACUCUUGUGACGAAAACUGGUCGCUGGUUUCUUAGAAAUACUCUGCUCAUUUUCCAGGCCAACGAUUGCUGAUUCGGAUCAGAUAUAAUUUCCAUAUUCCUUAUGAACUCUCUUUUGCUUGUUGCAUCAUUAUUUUAACCGCUGUUUUUUCGCCCAGUUGUCUUGGAAGAACAGCUUCCUACAUUGGCUUUCAUUAUACAUAAAAUAGUUUAGCUCUGAGUGAGAGCACAAUGCCAGAGUGUCUUUGUCUCUAUGGUAUCUUUUGUCGCUUUUGCAGCGUCUGUAAAGCAUGUGCCAUAUUGUUUCUUUCCACUGAUGAUAAGCUCCGAGACUCAUUCUCAACUGGUAAUAGGUUACAGGGGCCCAGUGACUGUGUCUCCUUGACUAUCAUGUAGAGCCUCCACCCAAUACUACACAAAGUCUGUAUUAUUAAAUGGAAUUUCUAUUUCAUUUUGGCUUAGAAGAAAAAGAAAUAAAUAUUCUCCAAAGCAUUAA
rnacentral:lncRNA from 1 species